rnacentral:rRNA from 2 species
AUUCUGCCAGUAGUCAUAUGCUUGUCUCAAAGAUUAAGCCAUGCAUGUCUAAGUAUAAGCAAUUAUACCGUGAAACUGCGAAUGGCUCAUUAAAUCAGUUAUCGUUUAUUUGAUAAUACCUUACUACUUGGAUAACCGUGGUAAUUCUAGAGCUAAUACAUGCUGAAAAUCCCGACUUCGGAAGGGAUGUGUUUAUUAGAUAAAAAACCAAUGCCCUUCGGGGCUCCUUGGUGAUUCAUAAUAACUUUACGGAUCGCAUAGCCUUGCGCUGGCGACGGUUCAUUCAAAUUUCUGCCCUAUCAACUUUCGAUGGUAAGGUAUUGGCUUACCAUGGUUUCAACGGGUAACGGGGAAUUAGGGUUCGAUUCCGGAGAGGGAGCCUGAGAAACGGCUACCACAUCCAAGGAAGGCAGCAGGCGCGCAAAUUACCCAAUCCCGAUUCGGGGAGGUAGUGACAAUAAAUACUGAUACAGGGCUCUUUUGGGUCUUGUAAUUGGAAUGAGUACAAUUUAAACCUCUUAACGAGGAACAAUUGGAGGGCAAGUCUGGUGCCAGCAGCCGCGGUAAUUCCAGCUCCAAUAGCGUAUAUUAAAGUUGUUGCAGUUAAAAAGCUCGUAGUUGAAACUUGGGUCUGGCUGGCGGGUCCGCCUCACCGCGUGCACUCGUCCGGCCGGGCCUUCCUUCUGAAGAACCUCAUGCCCUUUACUGGGCGUGUUGGGGAAUCAGGACUUUUACUUUGAAAAAAUUAGAGUGUUCAAAGCAGGCCUUUGCUCGAAUACGUUAGCAUGGAAUAAUAAAAUAGGGCGUGCGUUUCUAUUUUGUUGGUUUCUAGAGACGCCGCAAUGAUUAACAGGAACAGUCGGGGGCAUCAGUAUUCAGUUGUCAGAGGUGAAAUUCUUGGAUUUACUGAAGACUAACUACUGCGAAAGCAUUUGCCAAGGAUGUUUUCAUUAAUCAGUGAACGAAAGUUAGGGGAUCGAAGACGAUCAGAUACCGUCGUAGUCUUAACCGUAAACUAUGCCGACUAGGGAUCGGGCGAUGUUCUUUUUCUGACUCGCUCGGCACCUUACGAGAAAUCAAAGUUUUUGGGUUCUGGGGGGAUUAUGGUCGCAAGGCUGAAACUUAAAGAAAUUGACGGAAGGUCACCACCAGGCGUGGAGCCUGCGGCUUAAUUUGACUCAACACGGGGAAACUCACCAGGUUCAGAUGAAAUAAGGAUUGACAGAUUGAGAGCUCUUUCUUGAUUUUUCAGGUGGUGGUGCAUGGCCGUUCUUAGUUCGUGGGGUGACUUGUCUGCUUAAUUGCGAUAACGAGCGAGACCUUACUCUGCUAAAUAGCCAGGCUAGCUUUGGCUGGUCGCCGGCUUCUUAGAGAGAC